CAGUACCGUGAGGGAAAGGCGAAAAGAACCCCGGCGAGGGGAGUGAAAAAGAACCUGAAACCGUGUACGUACAAGCAGUGGGAGCCCCACCACCAAAGCAUUCUCUGGUGUUGAAGGCCCUGCAAAGCAGCAUCGCGGUGGCGGAGCGUCGUUUGCGACGCCCAACACACAAAACAAGCGGUGAGUGCUUUGGGGUGGGGUGACUGCGUACCUUUUGUAUAAUGGGUCAGCGACUUAUAUUCUGUAGCAAGGUUAACCGUAUAGGGGAGCCGGAGGGAAACCGAGUCUUAACCGGGCGUUAAGUUGCAGGGUAUAGACCCGAAACCCGGUGAUCUAGCCAUGGGCAGGUUGAAGGUUGGGUAACACUAACUGGAGGACCGAACCGACUAAUGUUGAAAAAUUAGCGGAUGACCUGUGGCUGGGGGUGAAAGGCCAAUCAAACCGGGAGAUAGCUGGUUCUCCCCGAAAGCUAUUUAGGUAGCGCCUCGUGAAUUCAUCUCCGGGGGUAGAGCACUGUUUCAGCUAGGGGGCCAUCCCGGCUUACCAACCCGAUGCAAACUGCGAAUACCGGAGAAUGUUAUCACGGGAGACACACGGCGGGUGCUAACGUCCGUCGUGAAGAGGGAAACAACCCAGACCGCCAGCUAAGGUCCCAAAGUCAUGGUUAAGUGGGAAACGAUGUGGGAAGGCCCAGACAGCCAGGAUGUUGGCUUAGAAGCAGCCAUCAUUUAAAGAAAGCGUAAUAGCUCACUGGUCGAGUCGGCCUGCGCGGAAGAUGUAACGGGGCUAAACCAUGCACCGAAGCUGCGGCAGCGAACGUAUCACUUAAAGCGAUUCAGCGGGUUACGAUUGACGGAGCGAAGCGACGUCAAAGCGUAUACAAAGUCGAGUCGGUUUAAGGAUACGUUCGUUGGGUAGGGGAGCGUUCUGUAAGCCUGUGAAGGUGGCCUGUGAGGGUUGCUGGAGGUAUCAGAAGUGCGAAUGCUGACAUAAGUAACGAUAAAGCGGGUGAAAAGCCCGCUCGCCGGAAGACCAAGGGUUCCUGUCCAACGUUAAUCGGGGCAGGGUGAGUCGACCCCUAAGGCGAGGCCGAAAGGCGUAGUCGAUGGGAAACAGGUUAAUAUUCCUGUACUUGGUGUUACUGCGAAGGGGGGACGGAGAAGGCUAUGUUGGCCGGGCGACGGUUGUCCCGGUUUAAGCGUGUAGGUGUGUGUUCCAGGUAAAUCCGGUUCACUUUAACACUGAGGCGUGA
rnacentral:rRNA from 1 species